AUGCUCGAAGUCUUGCUGUUAUGUUUCGUUAGUUAGGACGUAUCAUAACAAUCUCAAUUUGAAAUAUAACUUUGGACUACAUAAACGUGUAACUUUAUUUAGAAAUUGACAUUAUUUCUUGAUUUAG